rnacentral:rRNA from 1 species
AUGUCUGGUAGAGCAUUACUCGCCGACGUCAAGGUUCCCACGGUGACGCGGAAGGUGAUGGAGGUCACGGUGCGGCCCGAGAAGAAGAAGCCCCAGCGAGGAGGUCGGGGCCAUCACUUCACGCGGCAUGGCGGGCGCAAGGGACUCAGCCUGGACUACGACGAGGAGGACUUUGAGGCCGAUUUCAAGGACUAUGACUUGGAGCUCGGGUGCGGUGGGGUGGCCGAGAAGGAUGAUGACUACGAGUCCCUCUCCGAAGAUGACUUAAGCACCAUGCCUAUUGCUGGUUUUGAUGGUCCUGCAGAAAGGUCAGCAAAAAGGAAGGGAAAGAACCAAAUCAAGGGUAUCCGUCACUGCCCCUUGGGUAAGUGGGCUGCUGAAAUCAAAGAUCCUAGCAAGGGUGUCAGUGUCUGGCUCGAUACUUUCAACAGUGCUAAAGAAGCUGGAAGAGCUUAUGAUGCUGAAGCACGCCAAAUCUAUGGUAAGAAGGCCAAGGUUAACUUUCUAGAGGAACCAACAGGAUAUGUCGACUUUGCAUCAAUCCAGCCACUUGUUCCUGCAAUGAACUCUGUUGCCCCUGUUAAAGCUCCUAUUAUGGAUAUGUACUCUGACCAGGGAAGCAACUCUUUUGGCUGCUCUGACUUGGGCUGGGAGUAUGAGACCAAGAGUCUAGAUAUAUGAUCCAUUUCUACCAUUGCCGAAGGAGCAGAAUCUACGCUUGUCGAGAAUAACACCUACAACUCACUGGUGCCUCCUGUUAUGGAGAAUAAUGCUGCCAGUUCUGAACCUUGGAUGAGAUAUCUUAUGGAUGACGAUGUGGAUGAGCUGAUUGAUGGCCUAGUGAAUUUUGAUGAGCCUUAGGAUGUCAUUGGCAACAUGGACCUUUGGAGCUUCGAUAACAUGCCCGUCUCUGGAGAAUUUGUCUAA